UAAAGUGCUCUUCUAGCAAUUUAAUUUUUAGUUUGCAUUUAGCAAGUGUUCAAGUGCUACACAAGAGGAGGUUCCUGUUGAGAAGAGAAGGUCACUCCUGUUGAGAGCACAAGAGGAAGCUCAGAAUCUCAGCUCUACCUCUGCCCUCUGACCCUCUACUCAAUUCCUCCUUGUGGUUAGUUUUUAUUUUUUGCAUUCAUCAAUUUAGAUAUGUCAUCUUUUGA
rnacentral:lncRNA from 1 species